ACUGAUUGAUGGUGCUUGCACCUGAUUGACGAUGGAUCACCAGUGAGUGGCGGACGGGUGAGUAACACGUAGGUAACCUGCCCCGGAGCGGGGGAUAACAUUUGGAAACAGAUGCUAAUACCGCAUAACAACAAAAGCCACAUGGCUUUUGUUUGAAAGAUGGCUUUGGCUAUCACUCUGGGAUGGACCUGCGGUGCAUUAGCUAGUUGGUAAGGUAACGGCUUACCAAGGCGAUGAUGCAUAGCCGAGUUGAGAGACUGAUCGGCCACAAUGGAACUGAGACACGGUCCAUACUCCUACGGGAGGCAGCAGUAGGGAAUCUUCCACAAUGGGCGCAAGCCUGAUGGAGCAACACCGCGUGAGUGAAGAAGGGUUUCGGCUCGUAAAGCUCUGUUGUUGGA
rnacentral:rRNA from 2 species